rnacentral:rRNA from 1 species
UACGGGGGGGGCAAGCGUUGUUCGGAAUUACUGGGCGUAAAGGGUUCGUAGGUGGCUUGUUAAGUCAGACGUGAAAUCCCUCGGCUUAACCGGGGAACUGCGUCUGAUACUGGAUGGCUUGAGUUUGGGAGAGGGAUGCGGAAUUCCAGGUGUAGCGGUGAAAUGCGUAGAUAUCUGGAGGAACACCGGUGGCGAAGGCGGCAUCCUGGACCAACACUGACGCUGAGUGAGCGAAAGCCAGGGGAGCAAACGGG